AAUAUAUCGGAACGUGCCCAGUCGUGGGGGAUAACGUAGAGAAAUUUACGCUAAUACCGCAUACGAUCUAAGGAUGAAAGCGGGGGACCGUAAGGCCUCGCGCGAUUGGAGCGGCUGAUAUCAGAUUAGGUUGUUGGUGAGGUAAAAGCUCACCAAGCCGACGAUCUGUAGCUGGUUUGAGAGAACGACCAGCCACACUGGGACUGAGACACGGCCCAGACUCCUACGGGAGGCAGCAGUGGGGAAUAUUGGACAAUGGGCGAAAGCCUGAUCCAGCCAUGCCGCGUGUGUGAAGAAGGUCUUCGGAUUGUAAAGCACUUUAAGUUGGGAGGAAGGGUACUUACCUAAUACGUGAGUAUCUUGACGUUACCGACAGAAUAAGCACCGGCUAACUCUGUGCCAGCAGCCGCGGUAAUACAGAGGGUGCAAGCGUUAAUCGGAAUUACUGGGCGUAAAGCGUGCGCAGGCGGUUAUGCAAGACAGAUGUGAAAUCCCCGGGCUCAACCUGGGAACUGCAUUUGUGACUGCAUAGCUAGAGUACGGUAGAGGGGGAUGGAAUUCCGCGUGUAGCAGUGAAAUGCGUAGAUAUGCGGAGG
rnacentral:rRNA from 1 species